AUUGAACGCUGGCGGCAUGCUUUACACAUGCAAGUCGAACGGCAGCGCGGGCUUCGGCCUGGCGGCGAGUGGCGAACGGGUGAGUAAUGCAUCGGAACGUGCCCAGUAGUGGGGGAUAGGCCGGCGAAAGCCGGAUUAAUACCGCAUACGACCUGAGGGUGAAAGCGGGGGACCGAAAGGCCUCGCGCUAUUGGAGCGGCCGAUGUCGGGUUAGCUAGGUGGUGGGGUAAAGGCUUACCAAGGCGACGAUCCGUCGCUGGUCUGAGAGGACGACCAGCCACACUGGGACUGAGACACGGCCCAGACUCCUACGGGAGGCAGCAGUGGGGAAUUUUGGACAAUGGGGGCAACCCUGAUCCAGCCAUGCCGCGUGCGGGAAGAAGGCCUUCGGGUUGUAAACCGCUUUUGUUCGGGAAGAAAUCCUCUGGGCUAAUACCCCGGGGGGAUGACGGUACCGGAAGAAUAAGCACCGGCUAACUACGUG
rnacentral:rRNA from 1 species